GGGAAUGUGGCUUAGUGGUAAAGUGCUUGCUUAGCAUGCAGAAAGCCCUGGGUUUGAUUCCUCAGUACCA
rnacentral:tRNA from 1 species